rnacentral:rRNA from 3 species
UCUAACGAAAAUAUGGGAAUCAUUCAAUGUCAUUCCUCGAACACGUUGUAAACCUGAUACUGCACCACUUGCUUCGUAACGAUGCAUAGUACCCAAUUCAGCAAUACGUAUAGGUAAUUCGCGAUAAGAAUGAGGUUUGUUUUUAUAAAUCAUCAUAUGAUGUGGACAGUUCAUUGGUCUUAAGACCAUUGCUUCGUCUUCAUCUAACUUCAUUGCUGGGAACAUAUCUUCUUGAUAAUGAUCCCAGUGACCAGAUGUUUUAUAUAAAUCAACAUUGGCUAAUACUGGUGUGUAAACAUGAUCGUAUCCCAUACUUACUUCUUUAUCGACAAUAUAACGUUCUAUUUCCCUACGUAUUGUAGCACCAUUUGGUAACCAUAAUGGUAAACCAGCACCAACGAGUUGAUUGUUUGUAAACAAUUCUAAAUCUUUACCAAUUUUACGAUGAUCACGCUCACGACGUUCUUCCAACAUUUUUAGAUGUGCUUUCAAAUCUUUUUUGUCAAAGAAUGCUGUACCAUAAAUUCGUUGUAACAUUUUAUUAUCACUAUUUCCACGCCAAUAAGCACCAGCUGUAGAUAAUAGUUUGAACUCUUUAAUUUUAGAAGUAGAAGGUACGUGUACACCUCGACAUAAAUCAGUAAAUUCACCUUGAGUAUAAAGUGUUACACUCUCAUCUUCAGGAAUUGCAUCAAUAAGUUCUAAUUUAUAAGGGUCAUCCUUGAAGAAGUCUUUUGCUUUUUCUUUACUAACUACUUCUCUUACAAUUUUAUGAUUUUCGUUCAAUAUAUGUUAAGUGGAAAAGGAUGUGGCGUUGCCCAGACAACUAGGAUGUUGGCUUAGAAGCAGCCAUCAUUUAAAGAGUGCGUAAUAGCUCACUAGUCGAGUGACACUGCGCCGAAAAUGUACCGGGGCUAAACAUAUUACCGAAGCUGUGGAUUGUCCUUUGGACAAUGGUAGGAGAGCGUUCUAAGGGCGUCGAAGCAUGAUCGCAAGGACAUGUGGAGCGCUUAGAAGUGAGAAUGCCGGUGUGAGUAGCGAAAGACGGGUGAGAAUCCCGUCCACCGAUUGACUAAGGUUUCCAGAGGAAGGCUCGUCCGCUCUGGGUUAGUCGGGUCCUAAGCUGAGGCCGACAGGCGUAGGCGAUGGAUAACAGGUUGAUAUUCCUGUACCACCUAGUAUCGUUUUAAUCGAUGGGGGGACGCAGUAGGAUAGGCGAAGCGUGCUGUUGGAGUGCACGUCCAAGCAGUAAGGCUGAGUGUUAGGCAAAUCCGGCACUCAUAAGGCUGAGCUGUGAUGGGGAGAGGAAAUUGUUUCCUCGAGUCGCUGAUUUCACACUGCCGAGAAAAGCCUCUAGAUAGAUAACAGGUGCCCGUACCGCAAACCGACACAGGUAGUCAAGAUGAGAAUUCUAAGGUGAGCGAGCGAACUCUCGUUAAGGAACUCGGCAAAAUGACCCCGUAACUUCGGGAGAAGGGGUGCUCUUUAGGGUUCACGCCCAGAAGAGCCGCAGUGAAUAGGCCCAAGCGACUGUUUAUCAAAAACACAGGUCUCUGCUAAACCGUAAGGUGAUGUAUAGGGGCUGACGCCUGCCCGGUGCUGGAAGGUUAAGAGGAGUGGUUAGCUUCUGCGAAGCUACGAAUCGAAGCCCCAGUAAACGGCGGCCGUAACUAUAACGGUCCUAAGGUAGCGAAAUUCCUUGUCGGGUAAGUUCCGACCCGCACGAAAGGCGUAACGAUUUGGGCACUGUCUCAACGAGAGACUCGGUGAAAUCAUAGUACCUGUGAAGAUGCAGGUUACCCGCGACAGGACGGAAAGACCCCGUGGAGCUUUACUGUAGCCUGAUAUUGAAAUUCGGCACAGCUUGUACAGGAUAGGUAGGAGCCUUUGAAACGUGAGCGCUAGCUUACGUGGAGGCGUUGGUGGGAUACUACCCUAGCUGUGUUGGCUUUCUAACCCGCACCACUUAUCGUGGUGGGAGACAGUGUCAGGCGGGCAGUUUGACUGGGGCGGUCGCCUCCUAAAAGGUAACGGAGGCGCUCAAAGGUUCCCUCAGAAUGGUUGGAAAUCAUUCAUAGAGUGUAAAGGCAUAAGGGAGCUUGACUGCGAGACCUACAAGUCGAGCAGGGUCGAAAGACGGACUUAGUGAUCCGGUGGUUCCGCAUGGAAGGGCCAUCGCUCAACGGAUAAAAGCUACCCCGGGGAUAACAGGCUUAUCUCCCCCAAGAGUUCACAUCGACGGGGAGGUUUGGCACCUCGAUGUCGGCUCAUCGCAUCCUGGGGCUGUAGUCGGUCCCAAGGGUUGGGCUGUUCGCCCAUUAAAGCGGUACGCGAGCUGGGUUCAGAACGUCGUGAGACAGUUCGGUCCCUAUCCGUCGUGGGCGUAGGAAAUUUGAGAGGAGCUGUCCUUAGUACGAGAGGACCGGGAUGGACAUACCUCUGGUGUACCAGUUGUCGUGCCAACGGCAUAGCUGGGUAGCUAUGUAUGGACGGGAUAAGUGCUGAAAGCAUCUAAGCAUGAAGCCCCCCUCAAGAUGAGAUUUCCCAACUUCGGUUAUAAGAUCCCUCGAAGAUGACGAGGUUAAUAGGUUCGAGGUGGAAGCGUGGUGACACGUGGAGCUGACGAAUACUAAUCGAUCGAAGACUUAAUC